AAAUAAAUGAAAUUUUUAA
rnacentral:snRNA from 1 species